UUGAAAUUACCUGUUUGCAUACAAUCACCGAAGUUAAGCAAUAUUCAGCCUGUCUAGUACCUGGGUGGGUGACUGCUUGGGGAUACCAGAUGCUGUAA